AUUGAACGCUGGCGGCAGGCCUAACACAUGCAAGUCGAACGGUAACAGGAAACAGCUUGCUGUUUCGCUGACGAGUGGCGGACGGGUGAGUAAUGUCUGGGAAACUGCCUGAUGGAGGGGGAUAACUACUGGAAACGGUAGCUAAUACCGCAUAACGUCGCAAGACCAAAGAGGGGGACCCUCGGGCCUCUUGCCAUCGGAUGUGCCCAGAUGGGAUUAGCUUGUUGGUGGGGUAACGGCUCACCAUGGCGACGAUCCCUAGCUGGUCUGAGAGGAUGACCAGCCACACUGGAACUGAGACACGGUCCAGACUCCUACGGGAGGCAGCAGUGGGGAAUAUUGCACAAUGGGCGCAAGCCUGAUGCAGCCAUGCCGCGUGUAUGAAGAAGGCCUUCGGGUUGUAAAGUACUUUCAGCGGGGAGGAAGGGAGUAAAGUUAAUACCUUUGCUCAUUGACGUUACCCGCAGAAGAAGCACCGGCUAACUCCGUG
rnacentral:rRNA from 1 species